rnacentral:tRNA from 2 species
GGAGAGGUGUCCGAGUGGUCGAAGGAGCACGAUUGGAAAUCGUGUGUGCGUUAAUGACGUACCGAGGGUUCGAAUCCCUCUCUCUCCGCCA